UAGAAACCCUGACUAAGACACCUGGA
rnacentral:piRNA from 1 species